AGUCACGAGUUUGAUCCUGGCUCAGAUUGAACGCUGGCGGAAUGCUUUACACAUGCAAGUCGAACGGUAGAGGGGGCAACCCUUGAGAGUGGCGAACGGGUGAGUAAUAUAUCGGAACGUGCCCAGUCGUGGGGGAUAACGUAGCGAAAGUUACGCUAAUACCGCAUACGAUCUACGGAUGAAAGCGGGGGACUCGCAAGAGCCUCGCGCGAUUGGAGCGGCCGAUAUCAGAUUAGGUAGUUGGUGGGGUAAAGGCUCACCAAGCCAACGAUCUGUAGCUGGUCUGAGAGGACGACCAGCCACACUGGAACUGAGACACGGUCCAGACUCCUACGGGAGGCAGCAGUGGGGAAUUUUGGACAAUGGACGCAAGUCUGAUCCAGCCAUUCCGCGUGCAGGAUGAAGGCCCUCGGGUUGUAAACUGCUUUUGUACGGAACGAAAAGGUUUCUAUUAAUACUAGGAGCUCAUGACGGUACCGUAAGAAUAAGCACCGGCUAACUACGUG
rnacentral:rRNA from 1 species